ensembl:lncRNA
CGCCUCUACGGUACCGAACAGAACUUUGCUGCCUCUUUGCCUGAUUGGAAAUCAUUGAUAUUGAGUGUUUCCCACAGUCUGCAUAAGAUAAUACGUGAGUUUCCUUUCUCCAGAAAUCUAGACAGCAACCUUCCUGACCAAGAAGUUUACAGGACUGCCGCUUUGUUGGUGAGGAGGAAACUGAAGCAGUUAUCCAUUACCAGUGCCACAUUCCUUUUCCUAUACAUGCUUUCAGCUGCAAGCUCCAGGUGUAAAAUCAGAAGCUGCGAGCGGUGUUUUCCUCCCGCAUUUUGGGCAGGAGGUGGACCAACCGCACAAUGACAGAUUAUGCAGAUCCUCCCGGAGCAUCUAAUCAAUCACGGUGGCGCGGGAGGGACGCGGCUCAUCUCCGAGUUAGCCUGCGUGGCGGCGGCCUCGCGUGAAGCAUCCCCCCGCCGGCGUGACAUCAGAGCAGCUCGAGUCCUUGAAAGUCUCGGGGUUGAUUAGCGGAG